rnacentral:rRNA from 1 species
CUAACAAGGAUUCCCCUAGUAACGGCGAGUGAAGAGGGAAGAGCCCAAGAUUGAAAGCUGGCGUCUUCGGCGUCCGCAUUGUAAUCUCAAGAAGUGUUUUCCGCUUCGGACCAAGCCUAAGUCCCUUGGAAAAGGGCAUCAUAGAGGGUGAUAAUCCGUACAUGGCUUGGAGCGCCCGAGGCUUUGUGAUACGCUUUCUAAGAGUCGAGUUGUUUGGGAAUGCAGCUCAAAAUGGGUGGUAAAUGCCAUCUAAGGCUAAAUAUUGGGGAGAGACCGAUAGCGAACAAGUACAGUGAUGGAAAGAUGAAAAGAACUUUGAAAAGAGAGUUAAACAGUACGUGAAAUUGCCAAAAGGGAAGGGUAGGAGGUCAGAGAUGCGGCCUGGGAUUCAGCCUUGCUUUUGCUUGGUGUUUUUCCCAGAUUGCAGGCCAACGUCGGUUUUGGGCACUGGAGAAGGGUAGGAGGAACGUGGCACCCCUCGGGGUGUGUUAUAGCCUCCUACUGGAUACAGCGACCGAGACCGAGGACAGCAGCGUACUCGUAAGAGCGGGCCCUCGGGCACCUUUACGCUUAGGGCGUUGGCAUAAUGGCCCUCUAC